rnacentral:lncRNA from 1 species
CAACAUGAUAAUUUUAAAACAUUGGUUUUCUUUCAGGUUUUGUCGGGGUGUAUCUGGCCGGUUACAUUUUAGAGACUUCGGAAAGUUGGAGUACUGUUUUCAAUUUGACCGCACUGUUGAAUGUUUUGGGAUGUCUGAGUUUUGUUAUAUUUGGCAUUGCCAAGCCGAUCGUUCCGGAAACAGAAGAUAAAGUACUGCACACAUGAACUUAACGGAGUCGGAUUCCGAACUCCGAAGACACGUUGAAAUUACAGAACGGAAAGAACGAAACGAUUUAAAUCUGGACUUUCCGAAAAUCCCACUUAGAAUUCGACCGGAGUGGGAACGACGAAAUUUCGACGGUUUUUUUUCUUUGUUUUUUUCCGACGUCAUUAGUUACGGAAAUUAUUUUAAAAGGUUUAGGCCGCGUGCAAAACCCGAAUUCGGACGGUCGUCCUUUAAGGUAUUGUUUUAUCGUUAUUAUGACGGAAAAAUAAAUCCGAACCCACAGUAGAAUGGAAAAAAAGGUAAACCCCAAACUUAUUUUUCACAAGGACUCGUCCCGUCCGCAACCGGAUAUUAAUUACAAAUAACACAUUACAAUAAUAAUAAUAAAUUACAAUACAAAUAAUGGAAAUGGCUUCGGAAUCGGCGGAUUUCACAGCCGUUUCGAUUAUAGAUAUUUGACCGGUGGCUAUCCAGUCAUCGAUAGCCACCGGCCAAGUCAAAGAAUUUAUUUUGUGGAACGUAUAAUCUUACCGACCGACGACGGCCGUCUCCGCACGUUAUUUACGGAAUACCAAAAGUACAUUUAAGAGCCACCUCCGAAUAUUUCGGAAAGUCACUAUUUUAUUCAUAUGUUUAUUUAACUAUUAUUGAUUUGUAUAUAUAUAUAUACGUUUAAUGUAAACGUCGGGAAAUGAUGGGGCCGUUUCGCGUCGAGAGAUUGGUCGAGACGCGAGCUUUUAAAUUAUAAACGGUGGGGGACCGGCGGGUCGAGCGCCCACUUCCCGGGAAUGGAGUUCGAAUACCCUUAAGAGUGGCUUCCGUGCCCAGACGAAAAAUAAAAAAAAUUAUUUCCGAAGAAACAAAUUACGGAUAAACGACUAUUUUCGGUAGCUUAAAUAAUUAAAUGGUAUUUUUAAUGGCCUCUCUCCGAUACUAAAUCGGUUCGGUCGAAGUUAUGUUUAAAAAUGCAUACAUUAAUUCUUCCGCAAAUUAGAAAACUUAAAUUUACCGGUACGGACCGAUUACUUCCUAAAGAAAAAUUCAAAUCUUGGCUAAGGGGUAUUUUAAAGUAGUUCGUCCUACACAUGUAUAGUACGUAAUAUUUUGCCACACGUUUUAAGAACGUAUAACCACUAAUUUAAGUAAAUAUCUAUUUAGAAGCUAAAAAAAUUGCCUGGUAAAAUCGCUCCCUGUUCGAAUAAUAAUAACUAGACGGCCUAAAGGACGGUUAUUUAUUAUUAGGUAGCGGUUAUUCUUACCAGGGACGCCGCGACGGCCGUAUAUUUUUGGCCGGGCUAAUCUCCCGGACUAAAUAUAAAUGGAAUGACCCUAUAAAUAAUCCGCACGUGCGAUCGUUGGUAUAAGGUGUUGGCAGAUUUUCUUACCCUUUUACGUUAUACGAAUAUCGCGCGUAAACCGGUGGCCAAACGUCGUCUCCGUCGAGUUUUUUCGUUUAAUUUAAAAAUAAGACGGAACGGUUAGGCAGGCGAUCGUAUUUUAAAUAUGAUGUCGGGCGACCGAAGGUUCUCGAGUAAUUGUACUUAUAUUUCUGUUGUAUAAUUUUCGUUGGAAAGAGAUGUACGGAAUAUUUCGUAAAUCCCUUGUACAGUUUCUAUAUAUACAUAUUAUAUUUGAAUAAGAAAUAAAAAUAUAUGGUUCCGACCCCGUC